rnacentral:rRNA from 1 species
GACGAACGCUGGCGGCGUGCUUAACACAUGCAAGUCGAACGAAGUGGCGAACGGGUGAGUAACGCGUAAUCAACCUGCCCUUCAGAGGGGGACACCAGUUGGAAACGACUGCUAAUACCGCCUACUGCAUGAUGGUAUUGCGUCUGAUUAGCUAGGUGGAGGGGUAACGGCCCACCAAGGCGAUGAUCAGUAGCCGGGCGUAGAGGAGGAACGGCCACAUUGGGACUGAGACACGGCCAACACUCCUAAGGGAGGCAGCAGUGGGGAAUCUUCCGCAAUGGACGAAAGUCUGACGGAGCAACGCCGCGUGAGUGAUGACGGCCUUCGGGUUGUAAAGCUCUGUUAAUCGGGACGCGGUACCGGAAUAGAAAGCCACGGCUAACUACGUGCCAGCAGCCGCGGUAAUUC